ACUCCGUAGCGGCCAACUUGAAAGACAGUGGCAAGAAAGACGAGGGAUUAGAUGAAAAGGACGAAGGUUCAGCGUUAGAUACACGCACACGGAGAGUCUUCGAACGAAGAGGGAAGGCCGAUGCAAAGAGACUCAAAGUCUUCAGCCUAGACAGACGAGCACGAAGAAGGACAUGGGAAAGCCAGAUAGAUGUGUAACGCAAGGCCAAGCUCAAUGUACAACUUUGAAGUCGAAUGCCAAAGAGUCACAUUGUACAAAAAAAAGCUUCUGGGACAUAGAAGAGUCGUUGUUCUCUGUUCACAAUUCUGAUCCAAAAUUAUUACCACGCACCUUCUUCAUUUCUCCGCAGAGGGGGUGAGACAUGUAAUAAUCAAAGUGCCAGUGGAAAAGAUAAUCUCAGCAGAUGUUCAUCCAACCUAAAAGUUGAUGAGGGUAAAGAUGUGGCAACUCAAAGAUAUGUCUGCGCCUUCCUGGCUCCCCAACCUCUUCACACACAUUCUGACCACCCUAAUACUAUUUUCAUGGUAUUGUCAUCUCGGGGCCAGAGCCACGUCCAGUGUGGCAGCCUCGAUUACGUCCUCGGCAACCUCUUCCAGUCGUCAGUACGACCAAAGCAAGAACAAUCGAGUCCUCGCCGACGAAUAUAUGACUACGGAUCACAGCUCGGAGGACGACGACGAUCAAGGCAGCGCCUCGAAUUUCCUUUUCCCCAAUGCUAAUGAUGAGAGCUAUUGGAGGGAGAUCAAGGCCAUCAUUGGCGGUGUCCUAGGCUUUUGGGGUGGUGUGGGUGGUCUGGGGACCUUGUUUCUCGUUGUCGUCCUCAGCCAGCGUUAUUGUUGCCGAAAGUCCGACGAAGAAAAAGAUGGCGACGGAUGAUGUUAUUGGGUGUAACUGGGAAGACAAUUCAUAUUUUCAGUGUGACCAUCGGCUCAACUCUAGAAUGGGUCUUCGGAUGAUCGUGCUGCCCGUGGGCAUUUGGAACCAUUUUUGCAAACACGUGUGAUGAAGGAAUGGUUUUGAACCUCACCCAGGCAGACUUGCCAUCCUCAAUCCAGUGGGCAAUAAUUAAUAAACUUGCCUGAAUGUCCACCUGAAGACGUCAAUAAGAUACUCCACAUGAAAAACAGAAAACAUGAGCUCAUUGUCGUUGCUAACAUACACAAGUAACAAUUGCCCAGUUGCACCCCACCUCGUUGAAGUUUGACGAGAACAAGUACUAAUGAUCCUAGUAUCCGUUACUAACUUCGAUUCAAUUUCAACCCUCCCAAGAAUUCAUUCAGAUUUUUGAUCAUCCAAGUCUACCACGUUUAUAAAGCCCGACUUUGAUAGAAAAAGAGUGUUUCCUAUGCUUCAUUUUUUUUCCUUUUCCGUUUCCGUGUUGAGUCAAGGUGACUUUCCUUGACACGCAAUAUAUAUAUAUAUAUAUAUAUAUAUCAUGAUUUGUAUCCAAGGAACACCUUGAAUCUGUGAUGUGUUUGUAGGAACUUCCAAUCUUCUUGUCUUGUUUGGCACGCCCCUUCACAGCUCCAACCAAAAACCUUGUUAUGUGAUUCAACGUUCAAUUUGGCAACCCAACCCCCAAGAAAUGGGCCCCUUUUCAUGUGUAACCGAUGGAAAAUGAUUGUCUUGUCAAUGCUCACCAUACUUUAUCCAACAGAAAUAAAUCACGUUUGUUAAAGAGA